rnacentral:lncRNA from 1 species
GCUGGCUCUGACACACUCCAAAGCACAAACAGGAGAAUUAACUUCAGCCUUAUGUGAGGGGGAGACAUUUCCUUCAUUUGAGCAGAAGAAAAAGACAGAUGACAUUACAGCUAUUUUUGCAGACCUCUCCCCUUGGGUAUGCCGUGCUGGGAGAACUUCACGGACCUGGCAGUCUACCAUGUGAGCAUCAGUGAUGGGCAGUGGACAACAAGGGCAGCAAUGAGCCACAUCCCAGGAGCAGAGGGAGGAGCAGCAUCAUAAUCAGAAGAGACGUGAUGAUGAAAAUAGAUUCCAGAGUGAUGCAGCCAUGAGUGAGCAACCUCUAGAAGCCAGCAACGGCCAGGAAUGUGUUCUUCCCUAGGACCUCUACAAAGAAUUAAGCUCUGCUGCCAUCUUGAUUUUAGCCAUAUAAGACCCAUCUCAAAUUUCUGACCUCCUGAA